rnacentral:rRNA from 1 species
GAUGAACGCUAGCGGCAGGCUUAAUACAUGCAAGUUGAGGGGCAGCAUGAUAUACGCGAGUAUAUUGAUGGCGACCGGCGGACGGGUGAGUAAUAGGUAGGAGACCUACCUCAUACAGGGGGAUAGCAUAGAGAAAUCUGUGGUAAUACCCCAUGAGGUUAUAUGAAUAGAGGCAUAUAAUCAAAGCAUAAGCGAUUAUGCGGUAUGAGAGGGGCCUACUGACCAUUAGCUAGUUGGUGAGGUAAGGGCUCACCAAGGCGAAGAUGGUUAGGGGUUUUGAGAGAGAGAUCCCCCAAUUGGAACUGAGAUACGGUCCAGACUCCUACGGGAGGCAGCAGUAGGGAAUAUUGGGCAAUGGGCGGAAGCCUGACCCAGCCAUGCCGCGUGAAGGAAGACGGCCUUAUGGGUUGUAAACUUCUUUACUAUUGCGACUAACUAGAUUUACGAGAUAAUUCUAAUAGAAUGUAGCAUAGC